rnacentral:ncRNA from 1 species
AAUCAAGUGCCUUAAGGGUGUUCGGUGGAUGCCUUGGCGCUGAGAGGCGAUGAAGGACGUGCUACGCUGCGAUAAGCCGUGGGGAGCUGCGAAGAAGCUUUGAUCCAUGGAUUUCCGAAUGGGGAAACCCACCUUCGAUAGCCGGAACUCCAAGGCCUUGUGCUUUGGUGUAAUGCCAAACCGCGAGGUUUUGGAUUUCCGGUUAUCAAGCGAAGGUAUGAAACUCCUGAAUUCAUAGGGGGUUUUAAGCGAACCCAGGGAACUGAAACAUCUAAGUACCUGGAGGAAAGGACAUCAACAGAGACUCCGUUAGUAGUGGCGAGCGAACGCGGACCAGGCCAGUGGCACAUCAAAGACAACCGGAACCUGUCAGGAAAGCAGGGCCUCAGAGGGUGAUAGCCCCGUACGGGUAAUGCGAUGAUGUGUCCUUGAGUAAGGCGGAACACGUGAAAUUCUGUCUGAACGUGGGGGGACCACCCUCCAAGCCUAAGUACUCCUCAGCGACCGAUAGUGAACCAGUACCGUGAGGGAAAGGUGAAAAGCACCCCGACGAG